rnacentral:rRNA from 1 species
GAGUUUGAUUCUGGCUCAGGAUGUAACGCUAGCGGCAGGCCUCAUACAUGCAAGUCGAGGGGCAGCAUGACACUUCGGUGCCGAUGGCGACCGGCGAACGGGUGCGUAACGCGUAUGUAAUCUACCUUGUACAGGAGCAUAGCUUUCGGAAACGGAAAUUAAUACUCCAUGUUAUCGCUUUAUCACAAGAUAGUGCGAUCAAAGCUCCCGCGGUACAAGAUGAGCAUGCGUCCUAUUAGCUAGUUGGUAAGGUAACAGCUUACCAAGGCAACGAUAGGUAGGGGUUCUGAGAGGAUGAUCCCCCACACUGGCACUGAGAUACGGGCCAGACUCCUACGGGAGGCAGCAGUAGGGAAUAUUGGACAAUGGGCGCAAGCCUGAUCCAGCCAUGCCGCGUGCAGGAUGACAGUCCUAUGGAUUGUAAACUGCUUUUAUACGGAAAAAAUAAGUCCUUGCGAGGACCCAUGAUGGUACCGUAUGAAUAAGCACCGGCUAACUCCGUGCCAGCAGCCGCGGUAAGACGGAGGGUGCAAGCGUUAUCCGAAUUUACUGGGUUUAAAGGGUACGUAGGCGGUCUUGUAAGUCAAUGGUGAAAUCUAGCAGCUCAACUGCUAACGUGCCAUUGAUACUACUUGACUUGAGUAUAGUCGAG